GCCGGGGCAGGGCUGGGCUGGGCUGGGCUGGGCUCCGCGUCCGCAGCGCGACGGACCUGUU
rnacentral:miRNA from 1 species